CGCUGGCGGCAUGCUUUACACAUGCAAGUCGAACGGCAGCGCGGGGGCAACCCUGGCGGCGAGUGGCGAACGGGUGAGUAAUAUAUCGGAACGUACCCAAGAGUGGGGGAUAACGUAGCGAAAGUUACGCUAAUACCGCAUACGAUCUAAGGAUGAAAGCAGGGGACCGCAAGGCCUUGUGCUCCUGGAGCGGCCGAUAUCUGAUUAGCUAGUUGGUAGGGUAAAGGCCUACCAAGGCAUCGAUCAGUAGCUGGUCUGAGAGGACGACCAGCCACACUGGAACUGAGACACGGUCCAGACUCCUACGGGAGGCAGCAGUGGGGAAUUUUGGACAAUGGGCGAAAGCCUGAUCCAGCAAUGCCGCGUGAGUGAAGAAGGCCUUCGGGUUGUAAAGCUCUUUUGUCAGGGAAGAAACGGUGAGCUCUAAUACAGUCUGCUAAUGACGGUACCUGAAGAAUAAGCACCGGCUAACUACGUGCCAGCAGCCGCGGUAAUACGUAGGGUGCAAGCGUUAAUCGGAAUUACUGGGCGUAAAGCGUGCGCAGGCGGUUAUGUAAGACAGAUGUGAAAUGCCCGGGCUUAACCUGGGAACUGCAUUUGUGACUGCAUGGCUAGAAUCUGGCAGAGGGGGGUAGAAUUCCACGUGUAGCAGUGAAAUGCGUAGAGAUGUGGAGGAACACCGAUGGCGAAGGCAGCCCCCUGGGUCAAGAUUGACGCUCAUGCACGAAAGCGUGGGGAGC
rnacentral:rRNA from 1 species